CAGAAUCUCAAAGCUACACAUGUACUGUGCUCGCUCCACGGAUGCCUGGCCAGGCUUCGGAUGGCUUUCCCCAGAGUUGAUUCAUACAGGCCCCCAGGAGAGGCAACGCAUUGGACAAACACAUACUCAGUCCUGGCUCCGGAAUCAGGCGGUCUGAAGCUCUGAGAUGAAAUGCUCCCUCAAGGGCAAGCAGAAGGUUCCUGGGACUCAGAGGCAAGCAAAAGGCCACAUCUCUGGGAAAAAGAAAACUUGGAAGAUUUCCAAAGGUCCCUCCCAGCUUUAUGAAGGAGUCCGCAGCUGCCGGGAGAACAGACUGACCAACGCAGCUGCCAAGAGGAGAUUCUUGGGCUGUUGAGCCACCGGCAAACUGUGCUGAGAAUUUCAGGACCCCAGAGUUUGUGAGGCUGCACCUGUGUUGGGGGUGCCUUUCAGGACUGCAGUAACUUUCCUAAGUCACCCCUGCUCCUGUAAGUAGCCCCUCACCCAUGCCCCAGUUAGU